CCUUUCUUAACUAAUCCUGUCACUGUAAAAUCCUACAGUCAUUCUUCCACACAUAAAGGGAAAACGGACUCACUAGGAGGACCUAGACUCUUUCAGCUUGAACUGUUAACCAAUGGUGGAAAUGCAAGAAUGCUGAAGUUGUGCCUUCAGAGCCAAUAGAGUGGAUUUGUGUGUCCCACAUGACUGUGUUUCCCCUGUCUUUCACAUGGGCAGUAUUUAGUUCAAUUCAGAACUGCAGAUAGUAUAGCGUGCAGAGCAGCAAUGGGAUGUCUGAGCACAAGUGGCUGACUUCCAGGCGACUUCAAGAAGUGCAUUUGUACAUUUCUCCCGAAUUAAAUUGGAAUUCUGCACCCGUGACAUCCUCCUACCCUCCUGGUCUCUGCGGAAGGAGACAGCGACCUGCGCAGCACAACAAAACUACAAAUCAUCACAGAGCUGCAGAAGAGCAAACAAAGUGAGCCGAGGGCAAUUCGACCGUCUUUCUCUGUCAGUUCCCCAGAAGUCGAUGAAGCAUAUUACUGGGUCUCCAAGCUUUCAGAGUCCUGUAAGAACAGAGUGGGAGAAACACUGGAGCUGAACAUCUAGAUACACUUCUAAAGAUGUUUGGAAAACUGCCAGCUUCUUGCACGAAGGUUGAAACAGGAUGGGCAGAAAAGGGUGCUGGUGUGGACAUUUAAGGACGCUGUCAAGUCAAUGGAGUUCUGUUGUAGUGGUUGCUUCAGUGAACAUUCAACGCUGUCGGCCUUCACACCGAAGAUAGAAACCUAACCAGCACAUGAGGUUUCUCUCCCACCCUGCCAAGCUUUACAAAAAAAAGGUCACAAUCAACAUUCAUUGCUGUCGGUGGGUUUAACUAUGUGGACAAGCUCACUGAACAAUGAAUGCAACUGUGGCCCCACAUUUUACAGUUGCCAUUGAGAGGAACAUCAGCUCUGAAAGGAGUAGUAAGAAGCAAACACUUCUUAUAGGCUACAUUUUUUCUGGUCAAAAAAUAGUUGAGGAUACUCAGUUUUCACUACCUUGUUUUUUAAGUGUUUAAUUCUGUUGACUGAAAAAACACUGCUGCCUUCUUCUGGAAUAUUGUCCUUGCAGGGUUUGGCAUGGUUGAAACCAUAAAAAUCCUUGUUUAAUAUGUAUGUAGAAGCAAAUAAUAAGGAACUUUGUGUAUAUGCACUCCUAGAGAUUCAGCAUAGGAGGAAAGGGUAUUUAAAUCUCAUCUAAACUAGGCAUUGUGGAACAGUUCACAAAAAUGCCUUUUAUACUCAUCAAGACAAAAAUAGAAAUGAAAGCUGGAAUUAAAAUAGACGGCUGAUGUAUCAAAAAAUCAGUUCUGUAUAAAAUUAAUCUUAUGCACCUAAAUAAACAGUGUUAGCAAAUGUUAGAUUUACCUUUUCUACUGGUCAGAGGGAUUACAGAAAUAGAUGUAUAUCCGUAAUUAUAAUUGAACAAUAAACAGUUACACUGUAAAAUUACUGUAUACUUCGGGUACCAAUGUCACACUUAGUACUGCUAAUAAUAAGAAGAAAAUAAACAAAGUUAAAGAUC